GCAAGUCGAACGAGAGAUGAGGAGCUUGCUCUUCAAAUCGAGUGGCGAACGGGUGAGUAACGCGUGAGGAACCUGCCUCAAAGAGGGGGACAACAGUUGGAAACGACUGCUAAUACCGCAUAAGCCCACGGCUCGGCAUCGAGCAGAGGGAAAAGGAGCAAUCCGCUUUGAGAUGGCCUCGCGUCCGAUUAGCUAGUUGGUGAGGUAACGGCCCACCAAGGCGACGAUCGGUAGCCGGACUGAGAGGUUGAACGGCCACAUUGGGACUGAGACACGGCCCAGACUCCUACGGGAGGCAGCAGUGGGGAAUAUUGCACAAUGGGGGAAACCCUGAUGCAGCGACGCCGCGUGGAGGAAGAAGGUCUUCGGAUUGUAAACUCCUGUUGUUGAGGAAGAUAACGACGGUACUCAACAAGGAAGUGACGGCUAACUACGUGCCAGCAGCCGCGGUAAAACGUAGGUCACAAGCGUUGUCCGGAAUUACUGGGUGUAAAGGGAGCGCAGGCGGGAGAACAAGUUGAAAGUGAAAUCCAUGGGCCCAACCCAUGAACUACUUUCAAAACUGUUUUUCUUGAGUAGUGCAGAGGUAGGCGGAAUUCCCGGUGUAGCGGUGGAAUGCGUAGAUAUCGGGAGGAACACCAGUGGCGAAGGCGGCCUACUGGGCACCAACUGACGCUGAGGCUCGAAAGUGUGGGUAGCAAA
rnacentral:rRNA from 1 species